GUAGGAUUAGCUCACUCGGUUAGAGCGCCGGUUUGUGGAACCGGAGGUAAUGGGUUCAAAUCCCAUAUUCUACCCCA
rnacentral:tRNA from 1 species